UACGUAGGGACCAAGCGUUGUUCGGAUUUACUGGGCGUAAAGGGCGCGUAGGCGGUGCGGUAAGUCACUUGUGAAAUCUCUGAGCUUAACUCAGAACGGCCAAGUGAUACUGCAGUACUAGAGUGCGGAAGGGGCAAUCGGAAUUCUUGGUGUAGCGGUGAAAUGCGUAGAUAUCAAGAGGAACACCUGAGGUGAAGACGGGUUGCUGGGCCGACACUGACGCUGAUGCGCGAAAGCCAGGGGAGCAAACGGG
rnacentral:rRNA from 1 species